CCACCGAUACGCAUUACACAAACGUAUCCGCCAGAGAACUACAAGUGAAAAACUUAAAACUCAAAGGAUUUGGCGGUACUCCACCCAAACUAGAGGAGCCUGUCCUAUAAUCGAUACCCCACGAUCAACCCAACCACCCCUUGCCAACCAGCCUAUAUACCGCCGUCGUCAGCUUAUCCCAUGAGGGUAAAAAAAUAAGCAAAAUAGUUUAUCACUAAAACGUCAGGUCAAGGCGUAGCUAAUGGGGUGGUAGUGAUGAGCUACACUCUCUACCAAAGAAAAAACGAAUGGCACCAUGAAAUGGCAGCCGGAAGGCGGAUUUAGCAGUAAACUAAGAAAGAGUGCUUACUU
rnacentral:rRNA from 1 species